rnacentral:rRNA from 1 species
CCUACGGGCGGCUGCAGUGGGGAAUAUUGCGCAAUGGGCGAAAGCCUGACGCAGCGACGCCGCGUGUGGGAUGAAGGUCUUCGGAUCGUAAACCACUGUCGGGGGGGACGAACACCAUGACGGUACCCCCAAAGGAAGCACCGGCUAACACUGUGCCAGCAGCCGCGGUAAUACAGAGGGUGCGAGCGUUGUCCGGAAUCACUGGGCGUAAAGGGCGCGUAGGCGGCCCGAUAAGUAGGGGGUGAAAUCUUGCGGCGCAACCGCAAGGCUGCCUCCUAGACUGUCGGGCUCGAGCACGGCAGAGGCUGGUGGAAUUCCCGGUGUAGCGGUGGAAUGCGUAGAGAUCGGGAAGAACAGCGGUGGCGAAGGCGGCCAGCUGGGCCGUUACUGACGCUGAGGCGCGACAGCGUGGGGAGCAAACAGGAUUAGAUACCCCUGUAGUC